rnacentral:miRNA from 1 species
GCUGACACAGCCCGGCCAAUCUCCAGCAGACCCUCCCUCCCAGACCCUCCCACAUCCUGGACAGCAUCCAUGUUGAAGCUGCCUUCAACAUGAAUGCUGUCCAGGAGGUGGGAGGGUCUGGGAGGGAGGGUCUGCUGGAGAUUGGCCGGGCUGUGUCAG